rnacentral:rRNA from 1 species
AACGCUGGCGGCGUGCCUAAUACAUGCAAGUCGAAUGGUAGUAGCAAUACAAACCAUGGCGAACGGGUGAGUAACACGUAGGCAACCUGACUUUAAGACGAGGAUAACCGUUGGAAACGACGGAUAAUACUGGAUAGGACAUCACAAAGGGCAUCCUUAGAUGUUUAAAGGUUAUCAUGCCACUUAGAGAGGGGCCUGCGGCGCAUUAGCUAGUUGGUGAGAUAACAGCCCACCAAGGCGAUGAUGCGUAGCCGGACUGAGAGGUUGAACGGCCACAAUGGAACUGAGAACGGUCCAUACUCCUACGGGAGGCAGCAGUAGGGAAUUUUCGGCAAUGGGCGCAAGCCUGACCGAGCAACGCCGCGUGAACGAAGAAGUUAUUCGUAAUGUAAAGUUCUUUUAUCUGGGAAGAAAAAACAAAUUGACGGUACCAGAUGAAUAAGCUCCGGCUAACUACGUGCCAGCCGCCGC